rnacentral:lncRNA from 1 species
GCACUUGGUGCAUGUGGACGUUCCCAGGCUAGGGGUCGAAUUGGAGCUGCAGCUGCCAGCCUAUGCCACAGCCAGAGCAACGUGGGAUCCAAGCUACAUCUGUGAUCUAUACCACAGCUUGCAGCAAUGCCAGUUCCUUAACCCACUGAGAGAGGCCAGGAAUCUAACCCACAUCCUCAUGGAUGCUGGUUGGGUUCUUUACCUGCUGAGCCACAAUGGGAACUCCUGGCUUAUUUCUUUUUUUUUUUUUUUUUUUUUUUUUUUCCUUUUUAGGUCACACCCAGGGCAUAUGAAAGAUCCUGGGCAAGGGAUCAAAUGUGGGCUGCCUCAAAGACAACGCUAGAUCCUUAACUCACUGUGCCACAGUAGGAACUCCAAAAGAGGUUUUUUAUGAACAACAAAAAAUAUUCUUCUCAUUGGAGAAAUUCCAAGGCUUUUAGGAACUUCGGGCCAGCAAUCAGUAGAUGGCACCAACUGUGGAAGAGAAGAGAACAUUACUCCCUAGAAGUCUGGAGUAGCCGGAAGAAGCCGAUUAUAACUCUGAUAUUUCUCUGGAGUGUCUUUGAAGUUGUGCACCAAAGCGGGAGCCUGCGGAUGCUCCCAGUCACAGGGGGAGAAUACAAGAAACAAACAGAUAAACUGCUUUUAAGAAGACUGAGCUGGAAUUCUCUGGUGGAUUGGCAGGUUAAGGAUCCAGCGUUGUCACUGCUCUGGCAGCGGUUUGAUCCCUGGCCUGGGAACCUCUGCAUGCUGCGAACAAGGCCAAAACAAAAGAAGACUGAGUUAUCAUUACAAGUCAUACACAUGUAAGAAGAUAGUAUUUCAAUGUAGUAUAUUCCAAGUCAGUGGACAAUCUUGCUAGUGCAGAAGAGUUCGGAAGAAGAUUUAAACCCUCUAAGCGUCAAUUUCCUCAUUUGUAACACACAGUAAUGAUGCUCACAAGUUUUAUCUCAGAGGGCAUUAUAAAGUUCAAUAAGAUAAAAGAUGCCCACUUACAAAUAAAUAAGAAAUUGCAUCAUUAAGAGAUCA